rnacentral:lncRNA from 1 species
AUUCUGUCAAAGCUUUUCUAAUGUUAUUAUCCCACCUUCGCCAAUUACUGUCAAAGAAUGGGCUUUUGCUUACUAGGUCUGGUGGCCUGCAGUUGCAACUGAACUGAUUAGUAAAGCACUGUCAGCAGAUGAUUAAAUCACUAAAGUACCUUUUUUUCACUAUUUGUUUUCUCUGUGUGAUCUAACAUAGUUAUUAAUGAAAAGGUUUUGAAGCUUUAUUUUGUUUUGCAUAUACCAUCCAGUUAAGAAAAGAACUAGAGCUUUUUUAUGGCCAAAGAAAGAAAUCAUCCUCAAUCAAGGGAAGCAAUACCGGUGUAGAGAUAUGAUGACAUUGUCAAAGAUAGUUUGAGGUUUUAGAAAGUUGGGCCAAAGAGAGCCAUGCAGUUGUUGGACGCUGACGUACCGGUACAUCAUUAAUGAGACUAAUUCCAGUAUUUGGGCCCAAGUUGGUAAUUUGUACGGAACUCUUAUAAAGGUGCAGGUAACGGUCAUCUUCAAUCAGUUAGAUAGUGAUGCCAUCAUGUUGAUGCUUAUAUGAUUUUGUAAGUUGAGUGUAAUUUUUUUACUUGCAAAACAGAUUUUCUCAGUACUUUUUAUUAGCUUUUGCUGAUGGUAUUUUUUUUUUCUUUUUUCGUAAAAUUCAUGCUUCAAGCCGAGUAAUGUUUCCUUGUAAGAUCUUUUGUUACCCUAGAUCGUGUUCUGUUUUAUGUAAGGGAAUCUUUAUGUUCCAUUUUUAUUAUUUCCCAUCUCAAUGGAUAUACCGAUUCCUUGAACCAGGAGCCGUGGGCCAAAGGAUCGAUACCAGUCUCCAAUGCGAUCUGGGUCUGUACCACAUUCUCCAUAUCCUCAGGAGCACAAGAUUAAGCGGUCUAGUAAGAGGUCUCCAAGUCCAAGGGAAGAUAGUCGAAGUCCCAUUCUGGAGAGGGGUUAUCCAGCAAGCAGGUCUCAGAGUCCAAGGGGCAAUAUUCGCAGUCCUUCAAGGUCUCGUUCACAGUCUUACAGGUAUAUCUGUUGUUUUUCUAGUCUUGGUCGGAAACAACGCGUCUCUUCCUUGCGCUUCAUCCAAUUGUCAAAUAAUUUCUCCUUUAAUCUGUUAUUUUUCUAGUCUUGGUCUGGAACAAUGCAUCUCUUCUAUGCGCCGGCUGAUUGUCAAAUAAUUUUUCCUUUCAUCGAAGUCAAUUUUCUGUUUUCGGAAUAUGACCUUGGUGAUUAGGUUGGCAUGAACUGGGUAAUUAUUUUUAUGUUGCAAAUUUAGUGGUUGACCAUAAAUGGCAUAGGUUGUUCUGUUGAGAUAGAUCUGUGAGAAUUCCUCCAGGUGCACAUGAUGCGGUAAUUUUUUGAUAUUUUACUCAACUUUAGGUGCUGUACCGAUAGCAAUUGAUAUUUAUCAGGUGAUUGCUUUUGCUGUGACACCCAUAUGAUGUUCCAUUGGCAAUAGAAUUGAUAAAGAUGGGAAAGUACUUCAAAUUUUCUUACGAGAGAAAGUAUUAAUACUUUGAAUUUGCAUGAAUGAAGCAUGUUCCCUCAUUAUGUUGUUGAAAUUCAUCAGUCCCAUUUACUACUAACCAAUAGCUAGGGGAUUUAUCUGCUUUAUGGUGGCAUAGUGCUAGUAUCUCCAGUUUUAGCAUAUUUUCUGUUCAUUGAAGUAGUUCUUUGUGCAUUUCAUGUGCAGCCCACGCUGAGAGCCUUCUGAGUAAGAAUUACGGGGCUUGCAGUCAAGAUGGUGGUAUGCCAGUGGCGGUUCUUUGCAAAGUGCACUUCCAAGUAUCAAAGUGAACGAUAAACGGUGUCCUUUUGGAGAUCCUGUUGCUCUCUUCGAAUUUUAAAUAUCAUGGAUUAGGCUAUGCUUUAGAAAUGCUUUGUACGUUUUUGUUGGAGUUGGGCUUUGUGAACAUCAAAUGCAAGAUGGUUGUUGGUUGCUGGUCACUCUUUUAAGUCCUACGUUCGACCUUAAUGGAUGGCUCUUAACUUUAUAUGUGUGGUUUUUCUUUAUUGUCGGUUUAAUGUGUAUUCCUGGGCUUAGCACCAGAUAAAUGUGUGGGGUUACCCAAUGCUUGGAGUCGGUCCCAGUUCUGUAUUAACCGCGGUUGAUCUGCAAUGAGCUACUCUGUCUCUUCCUUGUUAUCGUCUGAACAUAGUCGCCUUGAAACUAAGCCAGUUCUUGCUAUUUGAUGGUCAUCUCCAUGUACAGGAACAGAUGAGCAACAUUGAUUUUGAAUGCUUGAGGGUCAGUGGACAUAAACACUGAAUCAUUUGAAGCUGGGUGGUCUGGGAGGACUUGGAUGGAUCAUUUGAAUUUAAAUUGUUUGGUCAAAAUAUAGCACCGACAUCCUUGGUGUAAGAGACCUGUUUUGGCGCCACAGGCUCUCGCGAUUGUUGUCAUCUCAUCGAUGGGUAUGGAGGAGGGAGGAAGAGAGGGAGAGGCGGGGCGGCUAUGGAGAUCGGAACGUGGUGGAGGCUGAUAUCAGUUGUGUCGUUGCAUUAAGGAGUGGUAUCUAGAUGAGCUAGGCCCCCUUUAACCCUGCCCAGCGCAUAGCCUAAUCAGGGCCGAACUCAAUUCCAUCCGAAGAACUACAUUCGAGUGCGCUGAAUUAAGCCACCACUAUGACCACCACCCUACGAUGUUAUGCUGCCGAAUCUCAUCCGUAUGUCUAGAGAAACGCCUAUUUUGCUUCUUGAAUUUUGCUAUCUGCUAGAUACGACAUGAUUUAUAAAUUAGCAUCGGUAUCAUUUUUUAAUAGUUGUUCUAUUGUCGAGUAAGACGUUUGGAUCGGUGUGAGGAGAUGAAAAGAAAAAGCCCCAAAGUAACUUUCAGUUUCGUAGAAGCAAAAUGGUAGGUACUGCUAAAUUGCAUUUCAAUGUUUGUACUGCACUUUCCAUGUAAAUGAGAAACAUUUCUUCGCCUUGCAAAUAAAAUGAACUUGCCAAGUUGCACGGACAAACUCGGGCGACCUCCUUCCCAAAGUUCUCUUAAUAAGAAAUUGGAAAAGAUCGGAAGAGAUGAAACUGACUCAUGAAUCUCAUGUUUAGUGAAUGAGAAGUCCAAUAGCCUUUUAUUCAAAAGAAAGGUCGACAUGCCAAAUUAAAUGACUUGAGCUUAUGAGGACACUCAAAAUUUGGAUGAAUUAUGCUGACAUGUCGAAGUAACUAAGAAUACAAAGACAAGAAGUCAUCCGUGACACUAAAGGCAAAUGGGUGAACUCAAAUGCCCAUAACGGUGAAACUACUCGCAAAUGCAGGAUGAAACCAAUGUAAUGGAGAUCACGUCCGAGCUUGGACACCUAAUUUUCUCUCCCUCUGGGAAGCCUUAUUUUCAUGAGGAUCUUCUGUCAAUGACCUAAAUUUGAAGGAAAAGGAGUUCAAUAGUAUCUCAGCCUGGAGGUCUCCACUGAUUUAAUUAAGGCAGUUGGCCGUUAUUAGCCAGCAGUUCGAAUUUUAGACCUUCAAUGCUUGCUUCUCAGCAGCAAGAGCUUCAGCCUUGAUGGGGGGCUCCCACAAAAUUGUAGUUUCAGUAAGUAAUGAGGUCAUGACGUAUGGGUUCUUGUUUGAGGCAGGACACCUAUCUUCCAAGUAACCUGUAUGUCAUUUUAAGCCGUUAACUAACUAAGCAAGGAAGGUGAACUUUGUACAUUUAAUCGAUAUUUAGAAAGAGUUAAGCAUUUUAGAAAGUUUUUGAUGCCCUAAAAGAACCAAGAUGUCCAAAGUCCUUACUUCAGCUUAGGAAGCAAGACUGUGGGAAUGCUUUAUGAUUGUUAAAAAGUCAAAAUUCCUUGUGCAUAGUUGCAAUCAUGGAAUCGACUGAGACCAGAAAGGAUAAAGAAUACUUAUAUGUAUUAUUUUUUCGUGGUAGUGUUUCUGGAAUCAUUUGAUAAAGUUGAGCAUCUCCAAAUGAUUUUCAGAUAGAGCACAAAAGGGAACUUGUAUGGUCAUUGUUAUGGUACCUUUUCCUUCCUUCUCAUUGUCAUGGCCCACACAGAUUGAGCAACCACAAUUGGCAACUCCCUGCAUAACAAUACAAGUAAUUCAGGCAUCACAAUGAAAUAUGAGUUCAUUAGUAGGGCAAUCUUUAAAUUUGACUAGUAGUUGAUAUGCUUCUUCUGAGCAUUACCGAAGACAAUGUGUUGGUGUUGAUUGUUUCAUGCUUUCCCAUCAAUCUUCUCCAUAGGCGCUAAUGUGCUCCUCAUGGCGAAGUGAGAGAUUCAGAAUUGCCUUCUUUAUCGCUUCAAAGCCUCCUUCUUCUCUCAUGCUUUUUGUAUUGCAGAAAAGUCGAAGAACACACUCUUAAAGGUCAUUCAUUGAACAAAAAUUCUUAACCAAGUCCAUGUUAUUUCCAUGGUGCGAACCUGUUAGUAUGGCAUCUUGCACCGUUGCAGUCACCCUGAGAAGGAAGAGAAUGCUUUUAUCAAUUUUGGGGUAUAAUAAUGCGUAAAUGGUGAUAGUAAAGUCAGCUACCUCUAUUGGCUUUGGAUCUUACAUGAGGACAACACAAGCUUGCUCGGUUAUUCACUGUUGUAUAAAAAAAAUAAACAAUCAAGUACUUAAAUACCUCAGAACAUGUCUAUAUGCACUUAUAAGGCCCCUAAAUGAAGACAAAACCUUGCAUCACAAUACAAUUUUUUUGUCAUCAACUCAAAGCCUAUUAUUUAUCAAUAUACAGGGAAAUUCGUUGGGAAAAAAUUUCUCACCUGGGAACCUCGAUAUCCUCCGAUAGGCCAACCGAAUGGCCAUUGAACAUUUAUCUGCAAUAGGGUGUUUUCUUGUUCAAUCCAAUACAUAAUGUGAACAUUUAGCCCAAAAAUAUGAACUUGUCCAUUUCAAAACUUUCUAAUUCACGAUAUAUAACUCAUGUUUUUGGAUCUCCCACCAUGAAAUGCCAUUGAUUACCUUUGGUUUACUGAAUUUCAGCAACCUUGACGUGCUUGGUCGCUGGGAUCGGCUUACCAGUUGGUGUAUAUGAAUUGGAAAUAACCUGAAGACAAACAAUAAUACUCUGUAAACCAAUUGAAACGCCCUUUCUCGUUUCAUCAACCUGUUCAGAUGAUCUAACUGGUGGUCAAUGAGUUCUUUGUGAUCCUCAUUUGGCAUUGUGUCCUCAGUGCCAAAAUUCACACCAUUUUUGUCUAGCCUGAAAAAUAAAGCAGUGUAAGAAAUAGACAUAUCUACUGAAACAAAAGCAAUAUGAGCUUAAUCUCAUGGAAGAUAGUUCAAACAACGAGCUCUAUCUAUAUGACUUGGCCUUCUGGUAUGCAUGAGAGUUUAGUUUUGAAAAGAUAAAAAGAAUAGAAUGAGUACUUCAAAGAAAGGGGUCUCUUUAGCAAGUGCCAUCGCCGAAAAGUUGAAAACCGCUUUUUGGAGACUAGUUUCAAGAAGGACGGCUUACAUUUUGAAGCAUAAAUAGUGAGACUCAAUUUCCCUAAGGACACUACCACAAAUUUCCUUUAAAAGAUAAACUAAAAGCAGUGGCAUAACUAUGCUUCGCAUUUCGGAACCAUUUCAAGGUUAUUUUGAAGCCUCAUUCCCAAAAGCGAGCUUGCGAACAAGCAAAAAACCGAAGGCAGUUACAGAGUUGAAGGAAGUAGACUGCAAAGCGCCACAGUUUAAGAGAUUAACGAAAUUCCAACCCAGCAAGGAUCAAUCAUCAAACAUGCUAUUAUGAUAUUUCCUUAGAUCUAAUGGAUGAUCAACUCGUGAAUAUUGACAGUGCACCUAAUUCUUUCCUCUUGCAAUCAGAAGGCAAUCACAUCGAAGUACUUUUUUCUCUCACAAACUUCGCACAAUCGCUGCAAAUUGCCCUCGCCAACGGCUUUGGCGAAAAUAUCCAUCAGAUAUCAACAUGGCAAAGCAAGACUACCAAACACAACAAUCAUCAGUAUGGCCAAUUGAAGUCACAGGAACAAGAAAAAUCUAAGAUGAGAGUGGAUACAAGAGAAACCAAUUCCACACGAGGUCCACAACAUAAGACUUCACACAAUUGUCAACCAAUCAAAAUGUGCAGGACAACCUUGGUGAGAUCAAAAUGGAGAAGUCACAAAUACGACCUCUUUUAAUUUCAAAACAUUAACUCGAUUGCUUAAGGCGGUGCUCAAGAUUGGCAAAAGGAUUGUACCUGAGAACCCCUGCAGAAUGGGUGAACAGCAAAUCGACAGCGUCGAUUGUGGUCAAAUGCUAAAAGAUCACCUUCGCUGUCCUCCCCUCGAGCAGAAAUAUACCCUUGCGAAAUCAAUCGCUGGAUGAGACGGAGUAUGAAUUUUUCCUCAUUUUUUCUCGCACUCUUCGGAAUGAAGCGAUGCGCCCAAAGCUUUAUGCGAUUUUUUUCAUGUCCCUCCCCAAAUCAAAUCGAGUAUGGAAACACGAUAUCCGAAAAUUAAAAAUGCAAAAAUCUGGGAAACAAGGUCCCCACAUACCUUCAGUGAAGAAAAUUAGGGCUAGAUUCGUCUUCCAAUGUUUAUGUUUGGGAUAUGAGCGAUCUUGUCCCAGUGCUCGCCUGCUUGUCUUUCACACCUCUUCUCCAAUUCUCUGCAAUUGUAGAUUCGUAGGUGAGUAAGGGAUGUGAGCCUUCGCAUUGUUUCAGGGAAUGAUGUCAACGAGGAGCAUCCGCUGCCGAUGUCGAGACGUUGAAGUGAUUGAAGGGCCUCGAUCUGCUCUGGUAUAGCCUUCAAAUUGCGGCAACCGCAAAUUGCGAGACGCUCGAGAUUGCGGGCUUGUAGAAGCCACUGCGGGAGAGAUGUUAGUUUGGGAAGCUCAGAGAUUGUCACGGAGCGAAGACUGUGAAGGCAUCCAUGGAAAUCCAAGAUGUUGCCGCUUUCGUCUUUGGAUAUAUCUAGCUCCUCACAAUCCCAGAUACAGAGAUCCACGAGGCUCGAUAGAUGUCGCAUACCUUGCCAGAGGGAAGUCAACUGAUGACAUUGCCAGAUCAAAAGAGAUUCAAGGGAAGUGAGACUUUGGAAACCCUCCUCAAGCAAACAUUCUGGAAACUUUGUAUAUCGGAUCACUAGUCUCUUCAACUUAUUAAGGCCAAGCAUCAUCUGAUUUAUCAACAACGCUCCGUUGGCUUUAUUCAGAACUAACUCCUCAAGAUGAGGAGUUAGUGGCAUGGUUUUUAAUUUUUCACAGCCAAUGAUCUCCAAUUCCAAUAGACUAGGAAAUGAUGCCGGUGAAGGGGAUGAUUGGUCCGACUCGAUAUAUUCCAAUUCAGGCAGAUCCUCAAUAUAUAAAGACUUGAGGCGAGGUAGUCGGUCCAGUGGGGGGAGACAUUCACAUCUUUCACAAGCACCGAACGAUACGUCAACUAAAUGUGGCAAGAAAGAUACAAGGCUAUCCAUCAUCCACUUGGGGAAACUCUCACCUUUAUAUUUCCAGAUCUUCAACCUUUGCAGAUUUGAGGGCGGCUUCAGUCUAUCAAAUAGCACUUCAUCUAUUACUACAUCAUCAAUAUUGAAAUUGCCCCAACUAAGUACCAAAGAUUCCAGAGAAUGCUUCCCCAUCAAUAUCUCAUCCUCACAUUUGACUUCCGUAUUUGUUACGUAUCCCAAAUUUUCAAUUGAAAGUUGUCCUCGGAUGUUAUUAAGCCCCUUUAGCUCCCCAAGUCCGCAAUAAUUCUUAGCACGAGCUUUAUCUUUGGGCAAAAUGAAGUUCGUUAGCCUUUGCAAAGAACUCAAUUUCCCUAUUCCACGUGGCAAAUAACUAAGUUUCGAACAACCAUCUAUGUCCAGAUUUCGAAGGCUGACUAACUUCCUUAUAUCACUUGGCAAUUCUUCAAGGACAUAACAAGAGUGAAGAUUAAGUGUUUGCAAGCUUUGCAAUCUUGUAAUGGAGUUAGGAAGCCUUUUGAGUGUUUCACUGUAAGAGAAAUUGAGAUAUGUGAGAUACUUCAACUCACAAAUGGACCUUGGCACCUUCUCGACCUUUGUGGUAUGCAGAUCCAAGAUGCGCAACCUCUUGAAAUUUUGAAUUAAUUGGCGUAGGUCUACUUCACUUGUUAGAUUUCUUCCCCAACCUCCAAUAGUACCCAAAAAAGUUCUCAAUACACUUGGUUUCAAGCGUGAGAUUGGAAGUUCACCCAUCAAAUUGAAAGUUGAACCAAAGGAUAUAUGACGAGUUCUUUCAUUUAUUUGAUUUGUGUCAUCCCUUGCCACCCAACACCUAUUCCCUGCAAUUAAGCAGGCUAGGUCAUGCAUCAAAUCAUGCAUCUUGCAAGUUUCCUCCUUUGUGUAUGGAUCUUUUUUAAAAUCUUGGAAGAAGUUGCUCCAACAUAGAUCCAUGAAAUAUUCAUGAGCAAUGUCUUCUAAAAGCUUACCUGAAUUUGAUGGCUGGAUAAAUCCUUCUGCCAUCCAAAGAUCAACUAAAGCAUGCUUCUUUAUCUCAUAAUCUUUGGGAAACAAUGAACAAAUGGCGAAACAUUGUUUUAAAUGUGAAGGAAGAUGGUCAUAACUUAGCUUGAGAAUAGAUAUUAUUGGGUCUUCCGUUCGAGACACUUUUGGGAGCUCAACAUCUUUGAAACGUAACCAUUCAUCUUCAGUUUCCUUUUGGAAUAGUAAACCCCCAAUAGUUCGAAUGACCAAUGGAACCCCAAAGCACUUUCUAACUAUCUCUUCACCAAUAGUUCGCAUGUCGAGAUCUUGUAUGCCUCCUUCUUUUUGAACAGCCAUUCGCAUUAACAAAUCAAGAGAAUUACUUUCAGAUAAGCCCUCAAGAAGAAGAGGCAGAGCAGGGGAGGUGAUCUUUGCAACCAAAGGAAGGCGUGUAGUUAUAAGGAUCUUGCUUCCUUUAGCACCUCCCAUCAAUAAUGAUUUCAAGUCGGACCAUGUUUCUAAAUUUGCAUCCCACAAAUCAUCCAAAACUAAGAGAUAUCUCUUUCUAUCAAUUAUUGUCCUUAGUUUAAUUUGCAACCUAUCCAUCACAUUGUAGCUCGGUUCUUUCUCCUCCACACAAACUAUGAUAUUUUUCACUAUUUUUUUAAUGUCGAAGUCAUUAGAGACACAAACCCACAUUUUCAAGUCAAAAUGUUUACUGACCAUCUUAUCAUUAUAUACAAUUUUAGCAAGAGCUGUUUUUCCAAGCCCACCAAUACCAACUAUUGGAAGGAUAGAAACGUCUUCUUUCACAUCCAAAUCCAGUAAGAAUUUCAUGACGUUCUUUUUAUCAUUAUCUCUUCCAAUAAUGUCUUCCUCACGUAUAAACGAAUGCGUCUCCUCUCUCUUCCUCCGCCCUCUCUUUGCUUGCGAAUUCAUAGGUAGCUUGUCCAAGAGGACUUUAUUAUCAGCCUUAAUAGCUACCAAUCUCUCCCUCACUUCUCUUAUUUUUCUACUCAUCUUCAGUCCAAAAGCAAGCUGGUUUGAACUUGAGAAAAAUGUCCUUAUCACCUUGAUCAUCUGAUUGUCACCCCUCAGUUCUUGUCGCAUAGCUUCUAUAUCAAAUUCUUCAAGCACAUCUUGCAAGUCAUAGAAAGCCUCUUUUAGUUUCUCCACCAAAUCUUUGAUUUGGGAACUCUGCUGGGGUUGCUCUUCUGCAUCCUUCAGCACAGCAUGAAGCAUGGUGGCGGUGCUCCUGAGCAUCUGAAGUUCACGCUUGACAGCUCCUAACUUUCCAACCUUUUCCAGUGCUUGAGUAAUCCGAUCGGCAAGGAUGCUUGCACCAAUGCUAAUGACAGCUUCUGCCAUAUCUGUUCUCUCUCUCUCUCUCUCUUUCUCUCUCUCUCUCUCUCUCUCUCUCUCUCUCUCUCUAUGGGGAUGAGAAGAUAUUAGUCCUGUCGUUUCAAGGCUAGAGUCUUCUUAGAUGAUGUAUUAGAAAAACAAAAGGACAAGUUUGAAAAAAAAAUGAUGCUUUCUGCAAUGUAACAGUAAAUCUUAAUUUGUAACACUAAAAAUUUACAUGAAGUUUGUAACCUAUUCAUGGGACGAGUAAAUGUUACUUUAAAAAAGUAAUUACCACCGACCCUGUUUAAUAAAAGAAAUUUUAGGAAUUGACAAACAAUAGUUAAGCCGCCCACGGGUCUAGAAAGUGAAAAUUAAAGUUUCUUUCUCAGCAGCUGUAAAUGAAAAUUUCACCCAAGGGGGGCUAAAGAACAAACGAGCCCGGCUUUUUUCUGAUGAUGCCCAUUUUCCUAGUUUCAUCACAUGCUUUCCUUAGAAAACAGUGCACGUUCACAUGCUUUCCUUUUAAUACAGUGCCGGUUUACAUGCAUGCCCCCAUUGUUUUGUAGUAAACACCGGAAUCUUAAGAUUAAUAGAACUUGGAUCUUGAGAAGACAUAAAAUUAUUAUAGCUGCGGGGGCAACUUCAACAUCUAACUUCACAUGGUAAAAAAAAUUUAUGUUCAUGAAUUUCAGCUUUUGUCCAAAUAAGAAACUGAAGAAAAGAUUAUGAAGCUUAUAUUGUGAAUGAAAUAGUAUGAAACCUUUUGUGUUCAAAAGAUAAAUUACAUAUUGGUAUUGAAGUACGAUGAUGUGCGGUGGGAUUACAAAAAAGCAAGCUGAUGAGGAUGCUUUUCAACUUUAGAUUUUAAUAUGCGGAAUGGUAGAAUGGCUCUUAAAGUUGGCUAAUCUUCUCGUGAAUUCCAUUUAGAAUUGGAAAUUGGGACAUGUUACAUCUUCUUAUGUGCCCAAUUUGAAGAAGGCUAAAUAUCCUAAAUAUGUAAAUCUGUACACCAUAUAAGUUAUAUUCUUAAAUCCAAAUAAAAGACGUCGAUAGUUUUCCUAAGCAUUCUUUGUUUCAUCAAUCUAUUCAUUUUCAGAAAAGCUCUAUGGUUAGUCGCUAUAAGAAAGAACGAACCUGGCUAAUAGUGGGCUGAUCGACGGCCGACCAACAAAGGCGAGGCCCCAACUGGCCAAAUCAAGAGAGGAGGACAGGAGACGGUGUCGGCAAGAUCAAGAGAAAGAUGAGAUGAGACGGUAUGGGCAAAGACUCUAGGAAUAGAGAGAUCAAGGGCACUGCUGGGGAAAGUUGAGAGACGAACAAUCUGAGAGAGAGACUAGCUAUGGGAGUGAGAAUUGAAAGAGAGUAGCGAGGAUCUUUAAAUAUAAAAGAUUUAGCACUGUUCCAAACCAGUUCUUCCAAAGGCUAGUUCCCGAGAUUUUUACAUGAGAGCUAAUCGAAAGUUGUUGAGGUCAGUGAAUCUGAAACGUUGCAGCACGUGGCAGAGCGUGACGUGCGAAACUCUGCCACGUGCGGCAAUGAACGGGGCUGAAAUUUCAGGGCCUGUCACUUUGGAGGAUGCUGAGUUUGAUGAUGGCGUCGAUUUUGCAAAAAAAAGAACAGCAGAAAGGCGGCGUAAUGACACUCAAUAGCGACGGGUUUGACCAAAUACGGACACCGGGAGAGUUGACGUAAUAUUGCAACCAUCAUUAUAGAUUAAAGACUUAAUGGCGUUUCAUCAAUUUGUAAUGGCUCUAGUACCAUGAUAUGAAUAAAAUGAAGAGAGAAAAUGGGGAAUAACUAUAUAUUUUUAUGUAUUGAUAAACAAUACAUGAGACUUUAUUAGAUAACUAUUUAAAGUAAUAAGAUAAAUAUAAUGCCACAUCUAAUUAAUCAAGGAUAUGCAUUAUUGAAGGAGAUAUGUGUAUAAUCCUGAAAAAUAUGCAAAAUCAAGUAAAUAUCCAAAUAUCAUUAUCAAUUAGAAUGGAGAUUUUACAUACUAUAUACUAAAAAUCAAAUGUUAAUUUGUUAAGGGCUGUGCUAUUUCCACCCCCCUAAAUAACUUUAUCCAACCCCAUUUAUACUAAAAAGACAACAUUGUUCUCAAUCUUUCGGUUGCAGUUUAUAUUGAUGGCCCUUUUCCUUUUCUAUUUAGGAUAAUUACGAUAAUUAAACAUUUCAAAUGUUUUGUUUUGCUUUUUAGUGUAUUAAAGCAAAGUGCGUUGUCAAAUAUUCUUAUAACGUUUUAUAUACUCCCUGUCAAAUUAUCUCGCUAAUAGUAAAGACAUUUUUUGAUAUCGUAUAAAAUUGAAAAGUCUCUUCUUCAUCAUUGAUCUUAUAAUAAUUUAUCCAUUUUUUUGUCCCUCUUAUCUCAAAAACUCACUUCCUAGGUGAACUUUUUAUUUUCACUAGUCUAAAAUAUUUAUCAAGUCCCUUUAUUUACUAUAUCAAGGAAUUUAUCUUUUUUCCUUAUUAUAUUGGCGAGAUACUUUUAUAGAAAACAUGUAAGAAUAUACAAAAAAUAUUAUGUACAAUGAGGUAUCUUGAUAUUUUUACAUAAACAGUUCAUAGAUGAUUUUGAUUUUUGUCAAUCCAAAGUUCUUAUUUUAUGUGAUGUUUUGGUUUGAUGAAAUUUUAUCUACUUAACAAUUUAUCCAUAAAUUUGAUCAACUAUGUCCCCCGCCGGCGUCCACGUUAGCGCCGGCCGGCCAAUUUUGGCCGGAUGGACUAAAUUUACACAAUUAUAAAAUGUUUAGGACUAAAUUGGACCAAAAAAAAAAAGUUUAGGACUGAAUUGGCACAAUUACAAUAGGUUUAGGACUUUUUGGGUAAUUCUCCCGAUAUAGAAAUACUAAAAAAAAUGGAAAAUAAAUAAAUUUGGGACAAUCAAUUUAAAUUGCAAUUGAAUGAUAGAAGGCAGUUUUGCCUUUUCGUGAAAGAUGGAUGGAGUUAGUCAUAUAGGGGUGGAAAUCACCUUGGUUAAUUGUCCCUCAUUAAUGGCCAAUCACCUCAUUUUAAAGACAAAACUUAACAUCAGCACCAUACCUUAAUUAUUUUACAGAAACUCUCUUAAGGCGAUAUGAUUGUACAAUAACAAUAGAAAAAUUGAAACUACCUAAAUGACAUACAUUGAUAGCAAAACCUCCCUUCGUCAAUGCUCAAAACUAUUUCAUCACAUGCUUUCCUCGGAAAACAUUGCACGUCACAUGCAUGCCCAAAUUGUUUAGAAUUAACAUCGUAUUCAAAUUAUUAGGAUCUUGAGAAGAUAUAAAAUUAUUAUAGCUCGCUAGGCAACUUCAACAUCUAACUUCACAUAGUUAAAAAAACUUACGCUCAUGAAUCUCCGCUUCUGCCCUAACGAAGAAGAAGAAAGUACCAUUUUGAAUGAAGUAGCAUGAAAUCUUUUUUGUGGUGGGCACAUAAAAGCAAGCUGAUGAGGAUUUUUUUAUAACUUUAAAAUUUUAAUAAAAGGAAUGAUAAAACAGUUCUUGAAGUUGGCUAAUCUUCUCUUUGCAAAUACUUUAUAAAACCCAUAUUGUUUUCUCGUGUGAAUACUUUAAUAUCUAUCUAGGCUACCUGAAGUAUCCUUUAACAUCUAUUUGGAUCAUCUGCGGGUCUGCAUGUUCUGUGUGAAAGACUAGUAGUCAUCAUCUUUCAAAGAGAAUGUGGUAGGAGAAGUAACUCUUCUUGACAACUCUUGAAAGAUGUAAUUCUUGUUUUCUCUUGCCAACGACAUGUUUCAUGACCAUCGCUUCAAUUAUGGUGGUGUCGCUGUUCAUCCACCUUUGGUGUCCCUCUUCUAAUGCAUUUCUUCUUUUCAUGCCUUUGGACUCUUGUGUUAUCGUUUUGCAUUAUGCAAACAAGAGAGUUGCGGGAAGGUUCAACGAAAAAGCCUCGAGCAACCAGUCAGCCAGUAGGUGGCGAAGACGAUUUGUUAGUUCCCACAAAACCAACCGGCUGCUGAGAUUGCCGCCUAAGACCAACCUUGCCUAAUCCGAAGAUAUUCUUGGUUGGUGGGUAAGUCAACAACAAAUGUAUAUCUUUGCAUUGUUACUUUCUUUUUUUUUGGCCAACUGCAUUGUUACUUAAAAGCAUGUUUUUUCAUCUGUAGAUGUUUGGCGCUUGGUAGUCGCACAAUAUUUAAUAAUAUAUACAUAUUGAUUAAUAUAUACUUUCGUUUUAUAAUUUUUUUAUAAUUUGUGUUGUGGCAGAAAAAUAAAAAGAUAUAUAUAUAUAUAUUUAUGCUGAACACAUGCCCUGACUUUUCACAUGUUAUUAUCGCGUAGCAUUCAAGUAAAAGCAAAAACGAUAUGGAUAUAUUAACUAUUCAAAUAAAUAAUAGAGUAAACCAAAAAAGUUGCAAAAAUAUCUUUCAGGUGGACUCGAGGCCUGAGAUCAUCAUUUGGGUUGAAGAUUCCGUUGGUACGUGGUGAAUCUGGAGCGGACAACUGUGUACAAAGAUAGAAAGGACGAGUACGGAGUAAGGCCCACGUGUAUAAAGUUAUAUUGGUACGUGACUGACAUAACCAAAAAGCAACUUAACUCUCCACCAUGGCCACCUAUUAAUAUCACUUGGUUAUUAUUAUUAUUAUUUUAAAAUUUCUUUCUGCGUUUUGCGCCACUUCUGUCUCCUUCUUUCCUCCUCUGUAUUUUAAAGAUAGAGACAACUCGAGAUAUUAAAGGCCAAAUCACCUCAAUUGUCACUCAUUAAUGGCCCACCACCUCAUUUACAUAAAACUUAAUAUAAGCGCCUUCCUCAUUUAUUGUGAAAGAACUCCUUAAAUAUGAUAUAAGUGCACAAUAAUAGUAGAUAAUAAAUAAUAUUUGAAUGACAAACACCAAUUGCAAAACCUAUGUCUAUAUGUAUAUAUCGAAAAAAUAUGUAAAGUAACAUGUCUGAUUAAUGUUAAGGAAAGAAAGAAUGAAUGAAGUUUUGCAAUGAUAUAGCUCGACCAUUAAGCUCUAUUCUAUCUUACUUUCUUAUUAUAUAUAUUAGCUUAGCAAUGGUCUCUUUAGCAAUGCUCCCGAGGACAACUUUCACCAUUUUUGUUCUCUCUCUCUCUGGAUUAGAAGAUGAUUAGUCCAGUGGUUCUAAGUCCAUAGACUACUCGGGACAUUUACGGCAAGUCUGUGUUGAAAAUAGCAUUUCUCAUCAGCCACGAAUAACAGAAAGUGAAGCUUAAGUCCAUAAUGCAUUUAGGACCCACCGACAUUGAUAUUUAUUUCACAGGUUGGUUUUAUUUGGCAAUUUCUGAGACCCGGAAGCAAGGGAGAAUAGGACCAAGUUGUGAAAGCAAAUUGCCUCUCCAAGGACAAACACUUAUUUUUUUUUCCCAAGGUUUCGUUCUAUAUAUUAAUUUUUUUUUAAAUGAUGGAGGUCAUUGUUUAAUUUAAUCGGAUGGAUUUUGAGGUGUGACAAAGUUGGUAACAAAAAAAAAAAAAAAACCUAGGGUAUAUUAAUUUGUUUUGAUCCAACACCAUGAGAUGUGUGAUGUGAUUAAUUAGUAACUUAUAUGUGUAGAUGUAUUGAUACAUAUGAUAUAUAUGUUGGACUGAGAUUAUUUCCAUUAAAAUAGAAAUUUUUAUAUGCAUGGAUAACACCAGAUUUGUUAACAUUCCAUUGCCAGCACUACGCCAUCACUACACCUCUCAAUUCAAAACUCUCCUUCAUAUCUUCACUUGACAUUAUUGGUAUUAUUUUACUAAAACCUUACUGUUUAAGGAAGUUCACUCUCCUUGCCAAUCUUUCAAAACUAUUUGCUUCCUAUGAAUAAAAUGCUUCUAGAUUAUUUCUUUCUUCCUUUAUUUUUUCAUAUUCUCUAAGUAAAUGAAUAAAACUGCUUUAAAGAUCUCUCUUCCAUUACUAGACAAUAUGAAAACUUGCACAUUUAUGUAAUGUAAAAUGAUAUAUUUUGACAUUUUAUGCAUGUCACUCAUUUUUUAUAAAUUUCAAAAGGAUUCACAUUUAGGGCAAACUGACAUACACACGAUUUUUUCUAGCAUAUACAAUACGUACAAAAUCUUUUACUAUCUCAGUAUCCUAUUGCAAUUAUAUCGGUUAGUUUAGAAUACUCUUUAGUUCAAAUUUAUAGCUUUUUCUUUAACAAUUACUAUAAGAUAAGUCAUCUUUCUUAUCUUUUGAGUCUGGCGCUUAUUUCAAUCCCCCUAAUAUAUUAUUCUUCCAUUCAAUGUACAAAAUCAAAUCUUUGCCAAGUUUCCUUGUGGAUGUUUUCUAAUAGUGCUUGCAAGACCGUCAAAAUUCCUAGUUGGCCAUUAAUGACAAGUUAGUGACAUUGGACCAAGUAGACCUUGCGUGACAAUAAAAUUUGUUGAAGUGGUAUGGAUUAUUGUGACAGGGCUAGAAUGUGCAAAGCAUCUUUUAACAUCCUAGAAAAAUUCGGAGUGUUAAAAAAAUCCAUGCUGCUAUCUUGCUUGAAUACUCUAAUACCUGCUUGAACUACGCGAGAUACCCUUAACAUACUUGUGGAGCAUCUUUUGUAGUGUAGACACGUUCAUCUCUGUGUAUGCGCCUAAGCUAUGUGCGAAAGACCAGUAGCCAUUAUCAUUCAUGGAGGAUGUGAUAGGAGUAACUCUACAUAGCCUUGUGCAGCAAUGAAAUUUGUAACUCUUCCAAAAAGAACGUAACUUUCGUCUUCCCUUCCCAAGAAUAUGUUUCCCGACAAUCAUUUCGACAAGCAUUUCCUUUUUUUUUUUUUUUUUCCAUUACGGAAACAAGAGAGUUCCUGAAAGGUAUGGCGAAAAAUCUAGAGCAACCGGUUAGCCAGCAGAAGGUGGUGAAGGUUAUUCGCCAAUUCCCACGAAACCAAUCAGCUGCUGAAAUUGCAUCCCCAAAACAAACCUCGCCUCCAAAAUAUAUGAAUUUCCGUUGUCAAGACACCCUAGUAAAUGUAUAUCUUUGCACCGUUCUUUGAAAUCUGACUUCUAGUCUGCAGGUGUUUGGCGCUUCUUAAUCACACAAUUUUCAUAAUAUAUGCUUUGUCGUGUACACAAGAAAGAUUAGGGCUCAUUCAUAUGUGUACGGCAAGUUCAUGUUCAUAUAUUGUUCUAAAAAUACUAUAUUAAGGUUUUCAUUUAUUUCAAGAAAAAUAAAUAAUUUAAAAAAUAUCUUUUAAUAAAUAAUCACUUCUAUCGCUUAAAAUAAUUAGUCAAUAAAAAAUAUUUUAAUUAAUUUAUUGUCUAAAAUUUUUCAUAGACGUUGAAAAUAUUUUCAUUCUUUUAUUUUUGUAAGCGAUACAAGCGAUUAUUUUUACUUCGUAAAUUUUUUUAUCACAUAAAAAACUCCAAAUUAUAUUCACCGCAACACAUUUAUUCCAAACUUAUUUUUGUGACAUCAAGAACCUUAACCUUAUACUCAUGUGAUAUAUUUACUCUUUGUCAAAAUUUUGUCAUAUGAUUUUCCAAUCAAAACAUCGUUUUUAUUUCACUCAUGCAUUUGCUGCCAACCACAUUUGGCUUUUGUCAUCUACAAAGCUACAUUUUUAAUGAUGCUCAUUGCGGGAAUUAUCGUAUAGGUACAAAUUUAAGAUUUUUAGUAUCACAAAAAUGUUUAAGGUAAAUAUCACAGUGGAUAAAAUUUGGAGUUUUUAAUGACUUUUUUGUCAUAUCAAACAAGGUGGUUGAGUUUUAUUUUACUUUAUUGUAAAGUAAUAUAUCUAAUUAAUCUAAGAAAGGUGAAAGAGUGGAGUUUUGUGAUACUCAACCAUUGAACUGCACUCUUCCUAACUUUCCUAUAAUUGAUAGAUAUAAACAUAUAUACAUAGUUUUGGUUUCACAAAUGACACGUAAUAGUUGAAUUUUCUUAGCAUUUAUUUAUUUAUUUAUUUAUUUUGGUCAGAAUAGCAUUAAUUUGUUUAUGUUUCUUAAAACUCAAAAACAAUUGUCUACUUUUCUGUUAAAAUUCGAAAUAUUAUUCGAAUAAAAAAUAUAUACAUAAUUUGGUUUCACAAAUAACACACAAUAAAAUAGAACGAAAGAAGGUAACAAUGAUGAUUAGAGUUCGCAAUGCAAAUGGUAAUAUUUUUGUUACAUGGAAUAAUUUCUUUUAUUUCUACUCUCAAUGACACUUAUAUAAAAUUUAUAUUUUCAGAGCAGAAAAAGAAUAUGAAUGCGUUUGGCAUGAUCCACAAAUUUUCUUUUGUAUUUUUGUGCUUUUUUUUCUUGCUCGCUGAUCUUUGCCGCCAAUCACCGAUGGUGGUAGGUAGAUCCAAGGGCGGCGGCCAUGGCAAGGAAAAAGAAGAAAAGAAAAAGAAAACAGAAAAAAAUGACUUAUUUCUAAAAAUUAUUCCCGAAAACAAGAAGUUAUUUUUUUUUUACUUUUUAUUUCUAUUCCAAAUCUAUUUCUCGAUUACUUUUCUAUUUCAAAAAAUAGAAAAAUUAAUUGACGUUACCAAGUGAUUUUCUAUUCUUUUUCUAUUCUAGGGAGUAAAAGAAUAGAAAAAUCAAGUAACCGAAACGUUUCCAUGCGGCCCUUAAAAUUUCUUAGGAGAAGGUUUGUCUGUGCUUUUUUAAAAUGCAAAAUUUAGAAUUUUUAUUUAAAUAUUAACAGAUUUUGAAAAUAUUAUGCCUAAAUUACAUAUCAAGAUUUAACAAUUGUGAAAAUUUAACAAGCUUCAAGCCAAAAUAACUGUGAAAGCUUGAUCAAGGCAAAGAUUAUAUAUGCGUGUGUAUUAUGCCGAGGUUCGUGAGAGCACAAAAUUCGAAAUUCACGGUAGUAUAGUCAUUUGAUUUUAUGCGUCCGCUUUUUCUCGUCCUUUAUUUGUCCUUACUUUUUCCCUUUUUCCAAGCAACCAUAAAAAGGUAAGGUAAUGCGUUGGCGAUUCCAUGGGUACGUGGAAAUUAUGGAUUGGACAAUAUGUAAUAAAAGGGAAUAGGAUGAGUAGGGUGGAGUUGGGUCCAUGAGUAUUUACUAUUCACUAAGGCCUAACUACUACUGGGGUUCAUGUGAAGCCAUACUGCCACAAGGUUGACAGGAGCCUGGAGGCAGCGUAAUAAUUGCCACAUGGCCGUCCAUAAAGCAACUUAACUCAACCAUAGUACUGUGUUCUUUUGUUUUUGGUUUUUUUUUUUUUUGCACCACGUCUUUACUCCUCUCUUCUGCUGUCGUCUUUCUUUCUCCUCCUCUCCUUUUUUUUAGAUGGGGAGACCAUAAAUGGGCUUCACGAACCAAAGAUAAUAUGGUCUCGGAAAAUCUUUUUGGGUAAUCCAAGACUAAAUCAUAACAGUCAGUCUCAUUUUUAGUGUCAAUCCUUCCCCUUUAUCAUGUAGCGUAAUUAGCACACCCUAAUUUCUGCACAAAAAAUGGGAGUGGCAUGACCAUUUUAAAGAGAAAUAUGAAGCCCUCAAACAAAUCUCGCCACAAAUCAACUAUACCAAAAACAUGCAUGUAUGGGCCAAAAGCUAAUAUCAAUAGAAUAUAGCCCAAUAAUCCACACAUUGAAGCUUUUAAGUGAAUUUAUUGUUAUAGAUAUGCAUCAUUUUGUUUCUACAAUUCUUUGCGAAAUUAGACAAUCACUUGCUUGAAGCAGGAGUACGUGGCAUUUUCCAUGCAUUUAUGCUGUGAAAAUAUGUUCCAAGUUCUAAUCAGGUCAUUCCAAGUUGCUCCAAGCCAAGGUUAACAUAACUUACAACAAAUGGUCGAUUGGUGUUGUUGAUUGAAGAGAUAAGUGGUGAUGCAUCUCAUCACUCCUUUGUGAAUAUGCAAUGACAUAAUCACAUCGGAAGAGAAGUGACUUGAGACUCAAGAAAGACAUGAAACUAAUUACCUGCACUCAUUCAAAGUAGCAACAUCCGUGGCUUGAACUAAAGUAUCUUUUGACCUCAAACCCCUGGGAUUUGGCAUUGCGUGAUUGUGAUAUUUUGUUUGGAAAUUAAACCCUUCCAAAGUACCCGUUGCAAGAAAAAAGAGUAACUUUCAUACAUGAACACAAUCAAUUUGGAUUACUUCUGAGGCCAAUCCUUGUUAGGAAAUUGCAAUAUCACAUGAGGUCUUUCGGACGACAUAAAACCACUAGAUUCAAUUAUCCAUAGAGUGAGAAUUGAGUGCAUGAAGCCGACAUCUCUUGUAAUUUGGGUUUUAUGAGCACAGUUCCUUUCUGCAGCUUAGCUGGUCCAUCCAAAACUCUUAUUGCAACAUCAUUUCCUCCGUUAAACUCAAUGCAAAAGCUGUUAUAUGUGAAAUUUUCAUGAUUUUUGAAAAUAUGGAAAUUUCUAUUAAUACUUAGAAACUAUGAAAAUUGUGUAAAUCGUGAAACAUGGUUCUUGGGAUAUUCAAAAAAUUUUCAGUCAAUUUGGUUAGAAUAAAUGUGAUAUAGUGUGCAUAAUUGGGGGUUUUUAUUGACUUUUUUUCUAGAUCAAAUGAGAUGAUCGAUUUUUUUUUUUUGCUACUUUAUUGUAAAGAAAUAUGUUUAAUUAAUUUAAGAAAGGUGGAAGAAUGGAGUUUUGCGAGAAUGUGACAUAGCCAUUUAACUGUAUUCUACCUUUUCCACCAUGGAUAGAUAUGUAUAUACAUACAUAAUUUUGGUUUCACAAAUGACAUACAAUAAAAAAAAAUGAAGGAAGGUAAUUAUGAUGAUGAGAGUUAAUUGAGUUUUCUUAGGACUAGUUUGUUUAUGCUUUUUAAAAUGCAAAAAAUAAAUUUUAAAAUGUUAUAUAAAUGUUAAAAAAUUUUGAAAUUUUUUUUAUAUAAACUAUAAAUCAAGAUUUAAUGGUUGUGAAAAUUCGACAGGUUUCAAGCCAAAAAAAGAGUGUAAAAACUUGUUCCAGAUAUAUAUAUAUAAAAUAACAUAGCCCUUUAGAUAUAUUGCUCAGGUUAGUGAGAGGGCGAAGGUUUAAAUUCACCAUAGGCGAUAUCACUGUCCUACGAUUUGAUGUGUCUUCUUUUAUCCUUUCCCUUGUUUCCUUUUCUCUCUCUCUCUCUCUCUCUUUAACGCAACCCAAUAAGAUAAUGUGUUGGUGAUUCCCUUAUUACGUGGUGACUCUAGAUGGACAACCUAUACUAGAAGAUAGAUAGGACAAGUAUAAUGAUUGGGUCCCACAACUAUUCAUUAAGGUUUGGCUAGUGGGGUCCAAGUCUAUGAAGCUGUACGACCAUCUACGACAUAAUGUUGACAGAAGAGGAAGCAUAAUAAUUGUCUAAGGACUGACAACCAAAAAGUAACUUAACUCGACCAUGGUUAAUUAUUAACCAUCAUUUUGUUCUUUUUGUUUUAGGUUUUCUCGCACGCCAUGUCUUUCUUUCUCCUCCUCCGGGCGUUAGAGAGAGGUCAUGCGCUUUGGAAACUUUAUAAAUUAAUAAUCAAAUCUAGGAAUUAAUAGUCAAAUCUUUGACUUGUUAAUGGUCCUCAUAAUAAGUGAGCUUUCAUAUAGUCAAUUUUAGUAUGGUGAUACAAAAACUGUAAAGAUGAAUAGAUAGGCUUCAACAAUUGAAUAAUACAUAAUCUUGGUAAUAAGUUUUGGAUACUCCAAAACUAAGUCUUGACCAUUAAUCUCAUUCUUCAUGUUGGCCCCACACAAGAAUAAGGGAGUGACAUGGGCAUCUUUUAAGAGAAGGACAAUGCUACACCAAAAAUAUACACAUAUGGGCCAAAGGCUAACACCAAAAGGAUAUAGCCCAAUAUCCACAUGUCAAAGCUUUUAAGUGACUUUAUUCUCAUUUUGUGUUUACUUUGCGAAGUUGGGCCAUUUCGACUUGAGUUUUGCCAUGUGAAAAAUAGAGAUGCAACUUAUCGACUCACUACAUCACUUGCUUGAAGCAGGAGUGCGCACCAUUUUCCAUCCACAUACGGUGCAAAAAUAUGUUCCAAAUUCUAAUCUGGUCAUUUCAAGCUACUAUAAUUCAAUGUAAACAAUGCUUACGAUCAACAGUCGGUUAGCGUUGUUAAUUGAUGAGACAAGUGAUGAUGCAUCUCAUCACUCCUUAUAACGAAGUGUCAUGACAAAAUUGCACCGGAAGAGAAGUGACUUGGGACUUGAGAAAGACACGACACAAAGAAUCCAUAUUCACUUAAAAGUUCAGGUCUAGCAAAUAUCGAUGAUGAAGUGGGUAGAUUUUUAUAUUCCAAACAAUAAAGGGAAUUUCGUAAUAUUGAAAAAAUGAAAAGGAAAAGAUGAAACAUUCGGAUUAUUUUGAUAAGGCAAGAAACGAUUUUCGAAGGUAAUUAUGGAACUUGUCUUUGCAUAGCUUGGCUUGUUUUCUCUUCUGAUAUUCCUAGGAUUGGCAUUUGCUUAUUACCCAAAAUUAAAGAGAGAGGCAAGAGGGUAGAGAGGACAGGGACGAUGGAGGCCCAAGGCUCGCCGGGGAGUGUCCUUUAUUGCUGGAAAACUUGGCGAUGUUCAUGGCUUGAACUGAUAUUUCCUUUGACCUCGAAUCCCUAGAAUUAGGCAUUGCGUGUUAUCGACGUUUUGUUUGGAAAUUACACCCUUCCAAAGUCGCGGUUGUUGGCUGGUAAAGAAGUAUAACUUUCAUGUAUGAACACAAAAUAUUUGGAUUAUUUUCAAGGUUGAUUCUUUUUACAAAAUUGUAUUGUUACAUGAGGUCUUUCCAACAAUACAAAAACCACUAGAUUCGAUUAUCCGUAGAGUGAGAAUUGAGUGCCCGAAGCCAACACCUCUUGUAAUCUAGGCUUUUACCACUGCAGUUCCUUUUGGCAGCUUGCCUAGUCCAUCCAGAAGUCUUAUUGCAACACCGUUUUCUUCGUUAAACUCAACGCAAAGGCUACUAUGUUAUGUGAAAUUUUAAUGAUUUUUAAAAAUACAGAAAUUUCUAUUAUUACUUAGAAAUUAUGAGAAUUGUGAAAUUAUGGAACAUGGUUUAUAGGAUGUACAAAAAAAUUCAAGUCAAUCUCGUGAGUUCAUUUCAGGAGUGGAUUUCGACUCCCACACCUUGCAAAGAGGCAGGGCAAAAGUCUGAGAGUGUGUGUUAGAAUAGGAUUAGAGUAGGACCGACAAAAAAAAAUCUCGUGAGUUCAAAGAUAAAUAUUAAUUGUGGAAAAUUCUAAUUCCUUUGAAAAGUUCAGUGCUAUCAUUGAAGAAAAAGCGUUGGCGCACUUGACAUUGGAAAGAUCUAAUUUUUUCAGUUUUUUGAAAAAUAAAAUUAACUAAUUUCUGCAAAAAAAAAAAAGAGAGAUUAUUUCAUAUGAUUGAAACUGUGACAUCCAGAUUUUCGGAUUUUAAUUCGACUGGAUAAAUAGGACCGUUUUUAUUCAGUUGAAGCCAGGGAUUGUGAAAUUGGGAUGCAAGUGGGCUAUAUUGGUAAGGAAAAAUACCAAUUGGAAUGACGAGGUGUUGAAUAAAUUAAUGGGGGUUAGUUUGAUUUAAUUCAAUAGGAAUUAAGGCCCAAUUGAAAAGAAAACCUAGCAAAAUUCGUAUGCCACUUCUACCCCAUAUUUUGGCCUACCUAAAUGCUUCUAGAAGGGGCAAGUUUGUCUUUGAAUUGUGAGUGGAUGACAGCCCAUGGUGGCCCACGUGCGGAUGACAUAAGAGAGAGAGAGAGAGAGAAUGAGAGAGGAAAAAGGGGAAACCGGUUCCCCCUUCUCUUCCUCGUCGCUGCCUCUCUCCCCUGCAUCUUCAUCUUCAGCUGCACGACACCAUGGAAGCUGAAGAUCAGCGAACUAGCAAGCCGAAGCAGCGAUUUCUCUUGGCGCCGAUGCAGCAAGCAACCGAAGCCGGAGUCGCCGCCGUCCGCCGUCCUGCUGCCUCGCGCAUCUCCGCCCCCUGUCCCUCCUCUGGUUCGAAUAGAACCGAAAGCAGAAACAGAAGUAGCAACCAUCGUCGGUUGAAGGAGCUGCAAUCGCGCCGGAGCUGCCAUCGCCGCCGCACAUCGCUCCGCCGCCUCGCCACUACUCCGUGCGUCACCAUCUCUCCCUUGCUCAGCCCUCUGUUUCAGCGACGUUUCAGAUCUGGUGGAGCUCCGCCGGAGCCGUCCACCCCUCCUCCGGCCACCGUGAAGCCUCGCCUAAGUCUUGUUCAGCCUCUCCGUCCAUCUAGGUCUGUUGUUGCUUCAAUUCGAGCCCGGAGCCGCCCCUUCCAGCAGCGAUCAGAGAAGUCAGAAAAUGGGUAUUGCAGAGGGUUUUGGCCCGUUUUGGCCGUCUUCCCGAGCCCGGAUGCUCGGCCCGCUUUGGGGAAAGUCGAUCCUCGCGUCGAGCCCGUCGUUUUGAGUGAGUUUUACUCACUAAUGCUUUCUUAGUUUGCUAAUUAUGCUUAAAGGUUGAUUAGUGUUAAUUAAGUGUAAUUAGGUUGUUAGAUUAGAAUUGAUUAGUGAUUAUUAGUUAAUUACAUUGUAUGUUAGUUGUUUGGUUAGUGUAAUUAGAUAGAGAAUUGCUUGUAGUAUUUAUUGGAUCAUUCUUGGGAUUUUUCCCGUCCCUUAUCGGGUGUUUAUUAAGCGAUUCGGGCCUAGGUGGUAUUUUUAGGAAUUAAAUAUUAAUUUUCGAAAUUAAUUAUUUAAUUAUUUAUUUCCCGGAAAUUCAACUGGGAUGGCCAGUGACCGGGAUUUUAUGCUGAUGAUCAUGGCGCAGUCCGUUUAUUUAAUUGAGUUUUAUAUUGUGCUAAAUUGAAUUUAUUGUAUUUAUUUAUUUAAUUUUCGAAAUUAAUAAAUUAAUUAAUUAUUUUUCGGAAAUUAAGAUUUCGAUGGCCGACGACCGAAAUCUCGUGCUGAUCGUCGUGGCGCAGUCCGUUUAUUUAUUUGAGCUCCACGUUGUAUGGAAUUGAAUAAAUUGUGAUAUUUUAGAGAUUUACCCUAAAUUGAUUGGAAUUGAUUGAGAUUGAAUUGUAGAUUGGUAAAUGGCCAAGUAUGUUAUUCAGCAUUUAUAAUGCUUUGUUGAGUUGAUUUAAUUACUUGAUUGAGAAAUCGUUGGGCAUUGGUUGUCGAUAUUGAUAGUAGAUCCUCGAAAGCCGUCAAGAUAUGGCUAUGCCAGUGGGGCCGAGUUUUGCCACCGAAUUUGGAGUCGGUCGCGCCCGUUGGGCCGUAAAUUGCCACCUAUUAAAGGUCGCGCCUGUUAAGGCCGUAAUUUGCCACCCGAUACGGGUCGCGCCUGAUAAGGCCGUAAUCCGCCACCUAUUAAAGGUCGUGCCCAUUGGGCCGUAAUUUGCUACCUAAAGGUAGGUCAUGUCCUUCGGGACUGUAAUUUGUUGCCAAGAUUUGGUAGUCUGUGCUCGUGAAGCAGUGAGUAAGAUUUUGAGACUGAAUAAGGGAGGUGACCAGGGAAUGGUCGGAUUGACUUGUAAUCGACUAGGUCGAUUGAUCGAUGAUUCAAUCUGAGUGUGAUUCAAUGUGAUUGAUCAUUGCCUUGAUUUGAUGUUGCGAAUUGGUUGAUUGAAUGGAAAUGACCGUGAGUGGUCUUGUUGGCGUGUAAUCGAUUAAGUCGAUUAGAUCGAUGCUUCGAUCUAUAAUAUGAUUUCUUGGGUGCCUAUAUGAUCUGUGCUAACAUGCAGGUGGAAUCUGAGGCCAAGGUAAGUCCUCUGACUUAUGUUGUGCAUAGGCAGCCCUAAGGUGUAUUAGUUUACUAAUCGGGUCUUAGGAAGUAGAACUUGCUGAGACGUGGUCUCAGUGGUUAUUGAAUAACCAUUUCAGGACCUGGAUGAGGAGCCUAAGGAGCAUGAAUCUGAUGAGGAGGUCCCUGAUGAGGAACCCGAAGAGGAGUACGUGGAGGAGGACCCCGAGUACGACCCGGAUGAGGACCGAAAUCCUAUCCUGUCUUGUCAGACCUUGUUUGCUUGUAAAAAGUUGUAGUUGUGAAUUUUCAGUAAGAUAAAUGUAUGGCCUGCUUUUCUAUCCCAUUGCUUUAUUGUCUGGGGAUUUAUAACUGCUUCCGCAUGUGCUAUUAAAAAUGAAAGGGUCGGCGAUACAUAGUCCUGGGAUAUCGCAUAAUAAAAUCGACCAAAAGUAAGGGAUGUGUGCGUGCCUGAAGGUCGGGGCGUGACAGAAACAGUAAAAUAUCUGUUGGGUCAUGGGGUGCAUGUUGGGGCCUAUGCGCUCGAAAUCGAGUCUUGAAGGGCAUUUACAUAAUUGUUGUCUGAAUGAGCUUUUCAGCCCAAGUGCAUUCAUCCUCUGUUCAGGGACGGAGGAAAUAUGAGAUAAAGUUAUGUGACUUGAAUUAGCGAUUUAUUGAGGUAUGUAAUUUCCAACACUUCCAUAUUUUAAAAAAGUGCAUGACAUGAUUUGCCGAGAAGAAGCUACACUGUGACAUGGUUUGUUUGUUUUUUUUGUUUUUUUAAAGCAUUUUAAGCAUAUAAAUAGAUAUUCUUACAUGGCAUGCUAUUUUAAAAAGUCAGAUCAAGCAUUGGAUAUUUUUGAGCCUCUCUAAUCCGGAAAUAUUCUAAACUGAAAUGCUAUAUAUAUAGUGUGUGGGGGCAUGCGGAAUAAAUAUUUUUAAAAAAUCACUAAUUUUGGGUGAAGGCUGGUCCUUCAUUUCUUAAAAAGAAGGCUGGGCAAUCCCUUCCUUCUCACUAUGGAUGUGAGUGAAAAAGAUCGAGAGUACUCGACUCAUAUAAGUUCGAUUUAUAGUUCUAUGUGUGUUCUUAGAACGUCGAGAUUGAACUUGGAGAUAUGCCAAGCGGUCUUUGAAUUGGAAAAAUCGCCCGGUUUGAUUAAUACCUAUCUCCCCAUGUGAUGUAACUUACCGAAUCAAAAUGCAAGUUGGCCUUCGAAGCGUUGGUCUCUAAAACGGUAUGAGCGAGACCUGGUGUCGAUCCUCUUCUUUCACUGAAGCCUUCGAUUCUCCUCGGAGAUCAAUCAAAACCCAGAGCCGACCAAGUAAACUGGAAAAUCCUCUGAGGGAAAGUGGAGAUGGUGGGAGGUGUGCAAGGAGCGAGCAAGAGGCGAUCGAAUGCCGUCCGGACGCAAGCAGUGAUUGUGAUCUCUCGCGAGAGAAUUGAUGACGUCAUCGCGCAAAUGGGGAGAGAGAGAGAGAGAGCCACGCGACCUCAAAACGCACGGGAAUUGGAGCCAAAAAAGCGGGUUGGAUCCACCAGCUUCGAUCGUCGCUGCCAAUGCCGUCCAAGACUCCGGGUGCGUUUGGGAACCACUUCCCAAAGCCCCUUGGGAGUCCAAAGCCCUUUGGGCACAAAAAAUGGUGUUUGGCAAAAAACUUUGAAAGGGACUUAGGCAAAAUGCUAGCAUUUUUAAGGCUGAAAGCCCAAGGCAGGUGGGGGGCUGCCUUGGGCUUUUCAGCAUUUUCGGCAUGCUGAGGAGCACUGUUCACUUUUUUUUUUUCCAAAAUUGUCCUCAUGAAUUAUUGGUUUUUCCGGUGCGUGCCCUUGGAUGAACACUGUUCAUCUUCUUCGGGCGAACGACCGCUACAGGGACGCCGCGACCUCGCCGCCCUUCGUCGGAGAGUCGGGCGACCUUCGCGAGUCGCGGCGUUGCCGGCGACCGUCGCCUGCUGCACCGCGACCUCCGCACGGAACUCGCCGGGGCCGCGCGACCAGAUCCGGACGUCGCGAGCCUCGGGGUCGGGCGACCUCCAGCGAGGGUCCGCCGGAGGUCGCAGGUCAGCCGGAGGUCGCAGGUCCUCGCGGCGACCUCGCGGCGACCGGAUCUGGUCGCGGCGACCUCGCUGCGCGACCUCUGCGCAACCAGAUCUGGUCGCCGGAGGUCGCACGACCUCGCGGCGACCAGGUCUGGUCGCGCAGAGGUCGCACGACCUCGCCGCGCGACCUCCGGCGAACAGAUCUGGUCGCGCGACCUCCGCGCGACCUCUGCGCGACCAGAUCUGAUCGCCGGAGGUCGCGCGGCGAGGUCGUGCGACCUCUGCGCGACCAGACCUGCCUCCGGCGACCCAGAUCCGGGGUCGCCGGAGGUCGCCGGAGGUCGCCGGCGGUCGCCGGAGGUCGUUGAAGGCCGCUGCCCUUGCCGGUCAUUUUUUUUUAUUUUUUAUUUUAUAAUUUUUUUUACCACAAAACUCCAUUUGCAAGUGUAAUUUCCCAAACACUAUUUUGCUCAAAGCACUUCACAAAGAGCUUUCAAAGUAUAAUUUACCAAACACAGUUUGCAUUUUACAAAACACUUUAAAGUCAAAGGUAUUUGCAUUUUCCUAAAGGCUUUCCCCAAAAGUAGUUCCCAAACGCACCCUCCCUCUGGUUAGUUGAACAACCGAUCGUGACCAAUGAUUGCUCCUCGCUGAGAUAAAAGCUCUCUGUUCUGUUUUGAGUAUCGCACGUGUGAAAUAGAGACCGAGAGCUUUGUUGUUUGCUAGCAAUGAAAAUUGUUCACGUCCGAGAUUAUAUUACUAACAACUGCGAUUCGGUCUUCAUGAUCUCGUGCUGAUUGGGCUGUGAUUCUCGCUCUCUCGUUGCUGGAUUGUGCCAUUUCAUCGAAUGCACAUUAAAUGUCUGGUGAAAUGCCUGAGCCAUAUUAGUCUGAAUACACAUCGUCUUUGUCUGCUUGAAUGACUCAUUGUACCAGUUGGAUAGGUUAAGUAGAUCUAAAUUGAUAUCCACUUUUGAGUCCAUUCCCGAAUGUCUCGGUCUUGGUAGGCUUCCGGUACUCUAAGGCAGAUAAACUCGACUCUCUGAAAUUAGCUAAAAAAGAUGAUUCCGGUACUCUAAGGCAGAUAAACUUGACUCUCUGAAAUUAGCUAAAAAUGACGAUAUGCUGAAUUGUAAAUACUCUAUCGAUGGUUGCUGGUGCGCUCAUGAAGCAUAGGCUGAUUAUGGAGAGACUGAUACAUUGUAGUGUGGAUCUCAUUUGCUGUACAUAUCUUUUGAAUUCCAAAUCAUGUCUUCUCUGCGAGUGAACGUGAUUAUGUGUUCAGCGGAUGAAAAAAUAGUGUGGCAGUGCCGCCACGUUCUUGUUGCAAGAUUAAAUGACAAACAAGGUAGAAUUGAAAAGAAGUUGGAAUUUUUUUCUAAAAAAUAAAUAUGAAACGUUAUAAAAAAAAAAAAUAGUAGACUCGCGUCCUCACAAAUCUACAAUGAUGCAGAUCUAUUAGAAAACUCGAUACAUCUAUAAUCAUAGGCAAUGUAUAGCUUUUUAUAACUCAAAGGGAUGAAUAGACUCAAAGCUCAUGGAACACCCUAUUAUAAAAUAAAUAGUUACAAAAACAGGCCACACUAUUUCCACGCUCGAAAUGGAGGGAAAGGUUGAAAGGGAUUAAAAAAAUGCAAGAAAUGUUCUCAUAUGAGUGGACAGCUCCAUUUAUUUCUAAUUCACUUAUGAUCGGACCAUCAUCAUAGCCAUUACGCCAUUUCAAAAUAGAGGCAAAAUCCCAAGAAAAUCAUCAGUUUGACAAGUUCUGGAAAUUCUCUCCCUAAUUUAUUAGAUAAUAAUUUCCAAUAAAUUGGACAAAUUGCGUCACCCUAAGUUAAAAAAGAUGAAUAGUACUAGAGACACUCAUAUUGACAUAUUCAAUUGGCUCAAACUUUAUAAUACUCAAACAAUAAAUAGAUUUAUAAAAAUUAGAUAAUGUCACCAUUUUGCCACAUCUAAUGGAAACUGAAGGUGGCAUUGAUAAAAAAUCUUCCAACAAGGAAUGCAUUCAUCAGUAGUUAAGCGCAAAGGAGUAGACUUAUUGCUCUCAGACAUUUCAAAAAAAAGACUAACUUGAGCUGUGCAAGCGCAACAUCUUGACAACAUUCAAGAGGGUUUGAACCACAGCAGCAUCUGCUACCUUGGAAGCUGCUCUAAGUUAUUAAAGAGUUGAGAUUCGAGGUACUAACCCCCUUUUAAUUACAACGGGCAUGCCUUUUCAAAGGCUUGCUGCUCUUUGCGGCAUAAAUCGAACUCGUUUGUGUGGUAAUACAUGCAACCAACAUAAGCAUCCAUCUCUUUUGUGCACCUCUCGUGAAGAUCUUUCAGCCCAAUUCUCCUAAUUGAAUUAUGUAUAUAUAUAUAGCAUAAAAAAAAUAAUAAAUAAGAGAAAAAUAAGCUUGAUUUGCCCAUGCAUUCAGCCAAUUCCUGAGCCUACCCAAGGCAUAUCUAACUUGGGACUCACAAAAAAAAAAAAAAAAGCGUUCUCUUCGAAAGAAACGACCAGUUGGCCGUUUAUACUCCUCCGUUCGCCGCCGUUCGUUGUAGCCACCGUUUCUGACCUCGCCAGAAACGACAAUCCUCGACCGGCGCCAAGAGUUCCUUCUUCGCUUCUGUUAAGAUCCGCUUUUCUCGACACCAAAUCGAUGCGGGAGCCGAAGUUCCGACCACGAAGCAAGUACAAAGCCAGGCCCAGCCACACCGAACAAACCAAAGACGCUCCUCUCCGUUGCCCCUGCCUUCCGCUACCUCAGAGCUCACCGGAUACGUUUGUGUUUCUCGCAAUUCGAUCGAACCACGCCCAGUUUUAUAUGCGAGAUAUAAACGCCUGUUGGAUGCUGAUAUAUCAGGUGAAUUGAAACGUUGAAAUCGAGUCCAUAGCUCAGUUUCUAAAUCGCCCAUGCACCGUCCGACGAAAUACCUCAAUGAAGGAAUCGAAUCCGAUUUAGCCAAAACAGUGUUCGAGAUGUUAUUUUUAUGCUCUAUUAGUUCUGAAAUCAUUAAACUGAGACUGAAUAGGCGUUUUCUUUGAUUUUUGGUGGCAUUAUUUCUCAUUAUCCGAGUCGGUCAUGAGCGCCUCGCCGGAGGAACCCGUGGUUAGAGGCCGCUGUAGUUAGUUUCUCGUUUACGCACUUGUGUGCUUGUUCCGUUAGAAUGGAUGCCGUUUUACAAUGUCCAUUUUUUUUUUUUUUUUUUUUUUUUUGGUGGCUUAACAUCACCGGUGAGGUUCGGUGAUGGCCGGAAAGGGGCGGACGGUGACCAAGCGAUGGCCGGCGGUGACUGGCGCCUGUCGGACCGAACGACCCAGCGGGCGUGCUGGCUCGACGGUCGCCUCAGCACCGGCGAGGGGCUCAUCGGCCGGCACUCAUCGGAAAAUGGUGCUGGCUGGGAGUUAUGGACUGAGUGUAGUGAGAUUAAAAUGAAGAGAGUUGGGCUGAGUGUUGUCGGUCGGUAGUAUCAUUCCUAAAAUUAAAAUUUUUUCUUCCAGCCUUAUGUUUUUUCAUCAACCCAAGUCCCGACUUGUCCCAAAAAAGCCAAAGUCAGGUUUUAAAGGGGCACUCUCGUAAUUUUGCGGACACAAGCGUUUCCAUUUACAAGAGAGAAAUUCAGAGGUAUUGUGUUAAUUUUUUUUUAUCUCUGAUUAGUGUUUAUAAUCAAUUCUUUACUUGUGUUCUCAUGUAUUUGUAAAAUGAAGUUCAACUAUAUGUGUUUGUGCUCAAAUUACAAGAGUUAGGCUCAGCGGUUGAUUGUCGUUUGAGUUCAACGAACUGGAAAUGUCGGUAGAACUGCAUUUCUUGUGCCUUAGAUAGACACAGGCGACUAAGAGAGGAACAUAAACUCGAUCUUGAUUCUUGGAUUUUGAAGUCCAGGUUUAGGACGAUUUGGACACCCGAUCGUAGGCUCUCGAAAUUGAUGGCGGGAUAUCUCGAGCUAAUAAACUGUUUGACAUAUGGUUAGUGAAGAAACCUGUUUUUAAUGUUGGUUUCUGGUCGGAGGAAGAAUUGCUGUUUUAAUUGAUUCUCCUCCUCCUCCAUCCCUCCCAUUGGAAUACUAAUUUGGAAUACAUUGAGCUGCCAAGCUGCAUAUGAUUGAAGGAACAGAUGACCUAAAAAACUUUUGAGAGAAUGAUUGGUUCUACAAUUCCAGGCUUACAUAAAAUCAAUUCGCUGUUGCCUUUUUUUACUAAAAAGGAUGGCACUUGUCACAAGACAUCUGCGUUUGUGAGUGUGCCAUAUUGCCAUUGUUUUACAGGUUUUUCUUACCUGUGUUUACAACGUGGGUGCCAUUUUUGAGAGGCUUGUUGUUGGCUGUUUUCUGAUACAAACUAAUAAACUGUGUACUACUUUCUUUUUUGGUAUUAAGCUACUGGGAUUUCAGAAAUAGGCAAAAAUCGAAGAGAGGAGAACCAUUACGUGUUGAUCUUUUUAUAUCUCAUCUCCGACAAUCACGGGGGAUGUAAUUUAGUGACUUCAGUGAUUGUAUAUUGCAUUAACAGGGAGCCUCGUGGCUUUGGAUUUGUGAAGUUCCGAUAUGCGGAAGAUGCAGCUGAGGCUAAGCAGCAAAUGAAUCAUACUGUUAUUGGAGGACGUGAGAUAAGAAUUGUUUUUGCCGAGGAGAACAGAAAAACUCCUCACGAGAUGCGCGUGACUGAGAGUGUGAGGUACAAUUUGUCACAUUCUCCAUUUCACUAGGUUGUCUUUAUGGCAUUUGUUUCCAUCGAUUCAUGACAGGUUUUUUUGGUAAACUCUUUUUCCCCCCAUUUUAAAAUGAAGUGGGCGACACAGGGAAAGAAGGAGAAGUACAUCAAGGUCUCCAAGACGCCACAAUCAGUGUCAGUAAUUUUGACUUCAUGUCCAUUCUGAUUUGUUGCUUUCUCUCCCUUUGGGCUGUACAACGAAUGGAGCAGUCUGUCAUGAUGGACAUCCUUGUGAGUUUGGAGAAUCUUAUUCUGUUUUUGUAUUUUCUUACAGCUUACUCUAGGUCACCAACACCAGAUAGGCAUGACUCAAGGUUUGGCAUUUUUGUCCGAGUGGGUUUAAUUGCAUUGUUACUGGUUUUAUACUUUUUCUGUUCCUCUUUUAGGAUGAUAAGUACACUGUAGUUGAGCAUAUUAGGAACUUACAGUACUAAGGGUGCCUUAUUGGCCUGGGAAGAAUAUACAGAACUCUUAGUGGCAUUCUUUCACUUUUAUGUCAAGUAUAAUGUGAUAUUUAUACUGUCUGUAUGUAUUUUCAACUAGUAAUGCUUUGUACAUUGUAGUUUUAAUCUUUUUGGUACGUGAAAUUUAGAUCAAGUUAUUUCAGUUCAAUCUUUGCUAUAUAAAAAGUAGUUUGAGUUGUCUGUCGAUUCUCAUCCUUGGUGAACUUUAGUGGAUGAUAUUGCCCAAGGCAUUAAAGUAGUAGAAUUUCACACUCUUUUUAUAGUUUUAUGUGUUUUGUAAGCCCUGUAUGUUUGUAGUAAUUGUGGUAUGGGAUUUUCACUCUAGCUAAAUUUUGAACAGAAAGCUAUGCAUUCUUCAUUCAUUUCUUGUCAAUAUAGGUAAACAUUUUGUUGUUUAUUUCCCUUGGACAUUUGUGCUUAUAGAUAGGAAGCUGUUCGUCUAUUCUGGAUAUAGACCAUGGCGAACUAUUCAAAUUUAAUUUAUUGAAAUAGUAGCCUUUUGUUAAAAUAUCUAGAACUGGCUAAAUGAGUGGCAAAGGCAACCGAUCGUCCUAGCCAACCAUUUUUCUUGGAAUGGUUUACUUGUGGACCAAUCACAUUAUGCUUAUGAGUGAAAAAGAGUGGCCAUGUACAAUUGAAAGGAAAACUUUGCUGACUUUAGCAUGGCAGAUUGGUGUAUAUGAGAAUUUUAUUAUUUUGCUGGCCUUGUUACUUUUGGUAUUAGUAAUCUGAUGCAUCUCUAUCCUAUUAUGUUCAUACUACAGUGGUUUUUAUCAAUUUGGGGUGAUUGAUGCAGUACAGCAUCGUUUCUGUGGUAUUGAACAGUAUCUGCUUGUGGCCUUGUUUAUGCAGAUAUUAAAGUGAACAGGAAGAUUUUAAAGACCUAUGGGUAAAUAAAGUUAAACGACAAAAGAGAGAGAUGGACAACUCCCUUACCAUUCUGUCAAAGCUUUUCUAAUGUUAUUAUCCCACCUUCGCCAAUUACUGUCAAAGCAUGGGCUUUUGCUUACUAGGUCUGGUGGCCUGCAGUUGCAACUGAACUGAUUAGUAAAGCACCGUCGGCAGAUGAUUAAAUCACUAAAGUACCUUUUUUUCACUAUUUGUUUUCUCUGUGUGAUCUAACAUAGUUAUUAAUGAAAAGGUUUUGAAGCUUUAUUUUGUUUUGCAUAUACCAUCCAGUUAAGAAAAGAACUAGAGCUUUUUUAUGGCCAAAGAAAGAAAUCAUCCUCAAUCAAGGGAAGCAAUACCGGUGUAGAGAUAUGAUGACAUUGUCAAAGAUAGUUUGAGGUUUUAGAAAGUUGGGCCAAAGAGAGCCAUGCAGUUGUUGGACGCUGACG